UCUAGACCUCGGGGGGCUCUCUACUCCAGGGUAGGGUCCCUAUCUGUCAGUCUUAUUGUCUCUCCGUCUGGCUGGCUCUGUCCGUCUCUUUCUAGUUUGGCCUCUUGAGCAGGGAUAAGUGGAGGUGGGGUAUCAUUAUAUGUCUUUGUUUAUCCUUUGGUCUGUGGUUGUCUUUGCCAAACAUCAUCUCCUCUCUGACUUUCCAUCUCUCCUUCUUUAUCUGGACUACCUAUUUCCGUCUGCCCACCCUCAGGUGAGUGUGGGCGGUGGGGAGUUCUCGCCAGGGUUCUGACCCAUCUUUUUUUUUUUUUUUUUUUUUUUUUUAAUUCUGACCCUUCUGUCACUUCUCCCUCCAAACCCGAGAAGCCGCACCGCAGCGCCGACAGGAGACUGGGGUGCGCGGCGGGAGGUGGGAGAGAAAGUGUCGGAGCCGGAGGCGCCCCCUCGCGCCCCUUCGCGCCCCCUCCCGGCUUGGGGGCGGACCUGGGAGCUCCGAGCCCUAGGAGAGGGCGCCGCAGGCCCGCGGGCCUGGGUCUCCGCCUCCCUCCCCCGCUGGCCCCCCUCGGCUCGGCUCCUCCUCUGGAGCCCCGCCUCCUCAGUCCGCUCCCUUGGCGCCCCCGCCCCCGCCGCCGCCGCCGAGCACCGAGCACCGAGCAGCCUGGCUGCCGCGCCCGCCCGCGCCACCAAACUUUCCCGGGAGCCGGCGCCGGAGCAAGGACUACAAAGACUCCCACAUCUCCCAGGACCUUGAAAAUCAGACCAAGUGAUUUGGACUUUUACCAGGGCACUAGAGAGACAUCGAGGAGUUCCAAGGAAGGGAGUGACAAAAUGCUGCUGAUUGAAAGACCACGCUGCCAGCAGUGAGGAAUUGGCAAGAAGGGUCUGGAGACGUCAGUGCAGAGGCUGAUGUCAGGGUCCAAGUGACAAAAGAUCAGGCCUGGGUCUGGCCAGUGGCCCUGUUUGGUGACACUGCACCAGCCCUCAGAGGCUAUACUUUGUCCUGCUAAGUGGGUAAUGUCACAAGAAUUCUGAGUUCAUAACCUAUCUAGUCUGCUGGAGACAGAAGCAGCUGCUAAGUUUGAAGGAGUCACUUAGAACUAGCUGAGAAUAAAAUCUGGAACCCUCUGUGCAUGAUAUGUACCCAGUGAGGUCAUCUAUUUAGAGCUGGACAGUUUAGUUAGGAACUGCUGGCUAGACUCUCGGCUUCCCCUGGGAACUCCUCUGAAUUCUCACACCGGCCCUUGGGGUGAACAUGGAAGGCCCUGCUUAGGAUUCAGGACCCCUGGGCCCAGCUGAGAAGGGAGAGGAAGAGAGAAACAGAGCCUCGGAAGUUCUUCUGUUACCUUUGGUGCAUCUUAUUAGGAAGAAAGUAGGAUAUUGUUUCCCAAACUUGCUCUGUGGAACCCUGAAUAGAAGGAGGUUCCAUGGCUGCGUAAGUCUGGGAAUGCUACAUAUCAUAUCUUAGGGAUUCACAAUGCCCAGUAAAUGAUGAGGACUUUAAGUCAGGCAGAACCUGGCUUUGAAUCUCAGCUGCAGCAUUUACUGUGUGAUCUUGGGCAGUGAGCUUCACUUCUUGGGUUGAUUCAAUCUCAUUUGCAAAAUGGAAAUAAUGG
rnacentral:lncRNA from 1 species